UGUGCAGUCGCCAGUCGUGUUCUCGUGUGCCACUGCCCAAUCGUAGCAGUUAGUUGAAUCAUGAGGUUCUGACUUCUCAGAGAAAGAGUCGCCAUUUUUAGACCUUUUUAUUGUUUUUUGAGGUUUUGAAUUUUGAUGUUGGCUUAAUUAGCUGGAUUGCCACUUGUGAGGCAUUUCUUAGAAUGUGAUGGGUUUUAGUUGGUUCGGGUUGGCAGUUCGUGAGCUUGCUAUGAUUCUUGACGAAUUUUGAUGCUGAAAGACUUGGAAACCAUGAAACCAUGCUGUCGACCACGUCGAGAAGCUGAGUAACAUUCUGCUUUUACAAUGGCACCUCUUAAUAAAAGGAACUUAAGCCAUCCAAUCUAGGGCUUCCAUCAAAUCGUGCAGGCUGCAUGGAAGUCGCAUUUACCUUUACUGUGAACAUAAUGAACACAUACACUAUUUGAAGGUGACAAUCUUAUCCAGGUUCAUGUUUACGUAGCAGUGGUGUUGCUGUCCAAUGUGGCGUGUUGUUGCAGCCUAUGGUGGUGAAAGAUAUCUGCAUCAAGUUGCUGUUCCUUGUGCAUCCAAGGUGCUGGUUUUGUGCUACAGAAGUGACAUCAAUAUUGUGUUGUAAUUGCCAUUUGUGUCUUUGCAGUUUACCUUACCUUUAUAUAUUGAGAAGGAACAAAAAAAAAUAGUAAUACGGGGAAGGUUAUGUCAAAAAAUAAUAAACAUGUCCAGGAUGGGGGAAUGAGGAGGAAGUUGGGGUGGGGUAUUUGGUUAUGAUUAUUAAAAGAAGUGAGGUAUAUUUUAAUGAAAAUGCAAUACUUGGUGAUAAAUAUGUUGUUAACCUAUACCAUCCCCACUUUCUCUUACACAUCCGUACCUCAAAUCCCAUAAGCACCCACAUCAAAUCCCACAUCCACUCACACCCAUUCCUAAAACCCCACAAUCUCCAACAUAAAAUUCACACAAAUGUUGUAUACCUAUAAUCAUUUAUAUUUAAAUAAAUAAAAUAUCAUUAUAUAUAAAUUGUAU